AUUGAACGCUGGCGGCAGGCUUAACACAUGCAAGUCGAGCGGGGUGAUGGUGCUUGCACUAUCACUUAGCGGCGGACGGGUGAGUAAUGCUUAGGAAUCUGCCUAUUAGUGGGGGACAACAUCUCGAAAGGGAUGCUAAUACCGCAUACGUCCUACGGGAGAAAGCAGGGGAUCACUUGUGACCUUGCGCUAAUAGAUGAGCCUAAGUCGGAUUAGCUAGUUGGUGGGGUAAAGGCCUACCAAGGCGACGAUCUGUAGCGGGUCGGAGAGGAUGGUCCGCCAAACUGGAACGAAGACACGGCCCAGACUCCUACGGCAGGCAGAAGUGGGGAAUAUUGGAGAAUGGGGGGAACCCUGAUCCAGCCAUGCCGCGUGUGUGAAGAAGGCCUUAUGGUUGUAAAGCACUUUAAGCGAGGAGGAGGCUCUUUUGGUUAAUACCCAAGAUGAGUGGACGUUACUCGCAGAAUAAGCACCGGCUAACUCUGUGCCAGCCGCCGCCGUAA
rnacentral:rRNA from 1 species